UGGCGGACGGGUGAGUAACGCGUGGGGAACCUGCCCUGUACAGGGGGAUAACACUUAGAAAUAGGUGCUGAUACCGCAUAAGCGCACAGUAUCGCAUGAUACAGUGUGAAAAACUCCGGUGGUACAGGAUGGACCCGCGUCUGAUUAGCUGGUUGGCGGGGUAACGGCCCACCAAGGCGACGAUCAGUAGCCGGCCUGAGAGGGUGAACGGCCACAUUGGGACUGAGACACGGCCCAAACUCCUACGGAAGGCAGCAG
rnacentral:rRNA from 1 species